rnacentral:rRNA from 1 species
UACGUAGGGGGCAAGCGUUGUCCGGAAUCAUUGGGCGUAAAGCGCGUGUAGGCGGCUCGAUAAGUCUGCUGUGAAAGUCCAAGGCUCAACCUUGGGAUGCCGGUGGAUACUGUCGAGCUAGAGUCCGGAAGAGGCGAGUGGAAUUCCUGGUGUAGCGGUGAAAUGCGCAGAUAUCAGGAGGAACACCAAUGGCGAAGGCAGCUCGCUGGGACGUGACUGACGCUGAGACGCGAAAGCGUGGGGAGCAAACAGG